rnacentral:lncRNA from 1 species
AAAAUUACAGGAGUGACAGUAGGGAAAAAAAAUUAGGAAAUGAAAAUUACAGAAGGAGUGAUAGUAGGGAAGUGACCUGCAAUAUCUAUAUCUAUACUACUUAUAAAAGCGUGAGUUUUGAAUUUUUUUCUCUUUCCAAAAAUGCCUCUAUCUUUGUUUACUAAUAUUUUUAUGUCCAGUAAUUUUUAACCAAUCAUUUCAAUUAAUUAACUAAGUAAUAAUUUAUUCCCCAAUAAAGAUAAAUAUUUUCCUUCUAACGCGUAAUAUCCACACCCGCCAAUUCUUUCGCAACGUAAUAUCCGUGAAUUUCUCAAAUAUCUCAACAUAAUUUGUAAUACACUGAAUUUUUGCAAAUUGCGAAAUUCGAGUGUGAGGAAUGAUAUGUGGAACCCUCCCACAUGUUCAAAAGGGUUUAAAGAUGUUUACACAUAUGUUUGAGAGUGAUCGGAAUGUCGGAAACAAGAAAGUGCAUUGAACCGGCGAAAAUCAGCUUUUUCUGCUUGC